AACUCACAGUCUGACCAGAGGAUGGUUGCGUUGAUGAGGUCUGUAUGGGCCACCCUUUCAUGUAUGACUGCUGUGCUGUGUAGCACUUAAGCUCUGCAAUGUUGAUUCUUCAGGCUUUGUAUUUUCCUUUCAGCUUGUAUUAAGCAUAUGUUGCUUCUCUGUACACAGGCAUCUCAAAGAAUUUCUCAGCUGCCUUUCUGUCAUCCCUGAGUCCAAAUUACAACUGUCAAUUAUACAUGAAAGACACA
rnacentral:lncRNA from 1 species